GGACGAACGCUGGCGGCGUGCUUAACACAUGCAAGUCGAGCGGUAAGGCCCUUUCGGGGGUACACGAGCGGCGAACGGGUGAGUAACACGUGGGUGACCUGCCCUCAGCUCUGGGAUAAGCCUGGGAAACCGGGUCUAAUACUGGAUAUGACUCCAUGACGCAUGUUGUGGGGUGGAAAGCCUUGUGCGGCUGAGGAUGGGCCCGCGGCCUAUCAGCUUGUUGGUGGGUGAUGGCCUACCAAGGCGACGACGGUAGCCGGCCUGAGAGGGCGACCGGCCACACUGGGACUGAGACACGGCCCAGACU
rnacentral:rRNA from 1 species